rfam:Felis catus isolate Cinnamon breed Abyssinian chromosome D1, whole genome shotgun sequence.
GCCUGGGUGUCUCAGUUGGUUAAGCAUCUGACUUCAGCUCAGAUCUUGAUCUCGCGGUUCGUGAGUUCGAGCCCCACGUCAGGCU